rnacentral:misc_RNA from 1 species
GAUGAAGAACGCAGUGAAAUGCGAUAAGUAAUGUGAAUUGCAGAAUUCAGUGAAUCAUCGAAUCUUUGAACGCACAUUGCGCCCAUUAGUAAUCUAGUGGGCAUGCCUGUUCGAGCGUCAUUAAGUCCACUUAAGCCCUGCUUAGUGUUGGGAGACUGCUCCAGCGGUGCUACCCUGUAGCUACCCUGCAGCUCCUCAAAGACAGCGGCGGAGUUGUGGUAUCCUCUGAGCUUAGUAACUUGUUCUAGCUUUCGAGUACACCACUUCCCCUGCCGUAAAACCCUUAAUUUUUAAUGGUUGACCUCGGAUCAGGUAGGAAUACCCGCUGAACUUAAGCAUAUCAAUAAGCGGAGGA